UAAGGAAUAUUGCUCAAUGGGAGAAAUCCUGAAGCAGCAACGCCGCGUGGAGGAUGAAGGGUCUAUGACUUGUAAACUCCUGUAAAGAAGGAAAAAAUCCCCAUUUGAUGGGAGAUGAUGGUACUUCUGGAGUAAGCCCCGGCUAACUACGUGCCAGCAGCCGCGGUAAUACGUAGGGGGCAAGCGUUGUCCGGAUUUACUGGGUGUAAAGGGUGCUCAGGCGGAUUUGUAAGUCAGAGGUGAAAUCUUACAGCUUAACUGUGAAACUGCCUUUGAUACUGCAAGCCUAGAGUAUGGAAGAGAGUGAUGGAAUAUCUGGUGUAGCAGUGAAAUGCGUAGAUAUCAGAUAGAACACCAAUGGCGAAGGCAGUCACUUGGUCCAUUACUGACGCUAAAGCACGAAAGCGUGGGUAGCAAACA
rnacentral:rRNA from 1 species